CUUAUUAGGACCAGUUUUCGAUAUGGUAAUGUAAGUUUCCUUGGAUUGUAUUUUUUUUCCUUCUUUUCUUUUUCUAAAAUUUUGAGACAACCAAUUGAAAAUUAGCUAUGUCAUUUUUUGAGAAUCCAUCCUCAGAUGUACCUUCUUUCUCAAUAUGAUCAGUCAUGUUUACCCAAGAAGCCUUGAGAAAGGCAAAAUUCUUAUCUUGAACAUCUUUAAUUGUGUCUUCAAUGACAAUGAGUUGUGUGGCAUCCAC
rnacentral:lncRNA from 1 species